rnacentral:rRNA from 1 species
CAGCCGCCGCGGUAAUACCGAGGGUGCGAGCGUUAAUCGGAUUUACUGGGCGUAAAGCGUGCGUAGGCGGCUUCUUAAGUCGGAUGUGAAAUCCCUGAGCUUAACUUAGGAAUUGCAUUCGAUACUGGGAAGCUAGAGUAUGGGAGAGGAUGGUAGAAUUCCAGGUGUAGCGGUGAAAUGCGUAGAGAUCUGGAGGAAUACCGAUGGCGAAGGCAGCCAUCUGGCCUAAUACUGACGCUGAGGUACGAAAGCAUGGGGAGCAAACAGGAUUAGAUACCCCGGUAGUCCCUGUCUCUUAUAC